rnacentral:rRNA from 1 species
GGAUCAUUACACAAAUAUGAAGGCGGGCUGGAACCUCUCGGGGUUACAGCCUUGCUGAAUUAUUCACCCUUGUCUUUUGCGUACUUCUUGUUUCCUUGGUGGGUUCGCCCACCACUAGGACAAACAUAAACCUUUUGUAAUUGCAAUCAGCGUCAGUAACAAAUUAAUAAUUACAACUUUCAACAACGGAUCUCUUGGUUCUGGCAUCGAUGAAGAACGCAGCGAAAUGCGAUAAGUAGUGUGAAUUGCAGAAUUCAGUGAAUCAUCGAAUCUUUGAACGCACAUUGCGCCCUUUGGUAUUCCAAAGGGCAUGCCUGUUCGAGCGUCAUUUGUACCCUCAAGCUUUGCUUGGUGUUGGGCGUCUUGUCUCUAGCUUUGCUGGAGACUCGCCUUAAAGUAAUUGGCAGCCGGCCUACUGGUUUCGGAGCGCAGCACAAGUCGCACUCUCUAUCAGCAAAGGUCUAGCAUCCAUUAAGCCUUUUUUUCAACUUUUGACCUC